UCUCUUGUGCUCGGGCACGUACUAUCGCCAGUGAGGUCUUUACCGAGGCAUAGUCUUUUGCUGAUUGCAAAUUACACAUCCGAACCCGUCUGUUAGCUUCGGCUUUCAGCAAUUUUUGGACUCUCUUCGUUUAUCGAAGAC
rnacentral:snRNA from 1 species